rnacentral:rRNA from 1 species
AACGAACGCUGGCGGCGUGGAUAGACAUGCAAGUCGAACGGGACAGACCGAGUAGCAAUAUUUGGAAUGUUCAGUGGCGAACGGGCGCGUAACACGUGGAUAACAUUCCGGAAAGCGGGGAAUAGCCCAGGGAAACUUGGAUUAAUACCGCAUGUGGCCGCAAGGCUAAGGACGGGGACCGCAAGGCCUGUCACUUUCCGAUUGGUCCGCGGCCUAUCAGCUAGUUGGCGGGGUAAUGGCCCACCAAGGCUACGACGGGUAGCUGGUCUUAGAGGACGACCAGCCACACUGGAACUGAGACACGGUCCAGACACCUACGGGUGGCAGCAGUCGAGAAUCUUUCACAAUGGGGGCAACCCUGAUGGAGCGACGCCGCGUGGAGGAUAAGGUCUUCGGAUUGUAAACUCUGUCAUGCGAGAACAAGGUACUCAGGCUAAUAACCUGAUUGUUUGAUGGUACCGCAAGAGGAAGAGACGGCUAACUCUGUGCCAGCCGCCGCAGUAAAAC